rnacentral:rRNA from 1 species
CUUUUUUAUAGACUGGAUUUAUAUAUUUAUAAUUAAAAUUAGGUUAAAUUUUUUUUUUACAGAGUUAAAUAUUUAGAUUGAUGAAAGAUGUAUAAUAGUGACAGGGAUUAGAUACCCCAUUAAUGUACAUUGUAGCUUUGUCUUAGUUAAUAUAACUAAAAUAAUUUGGCAGUGAGCGACUCUUUUUAGGGGAAGGUGUGGUGUAAAGGAUGUUCCGCCUAAUAAUUUACUUUCGUUAUGUUGGUGUAUAUCUGGUUUAAUAUUAUCGUUGAGUAAGUGAGUUUGUGUAGUUUUAUUUAAGCCAAGUCUAUGUGCUGCUUAUGAAAGUAUUCAUGCGUUACAUUUAUAAGGUUUUGGUUGUAAUACUAAAAUAUUUAGGACUUAAAAGUAAUGUUCAAUAAGUUUGUGAGUGUGAAGUAAGUUUAGCUCAUGUACACACCGCCCGUCACCCUCGAUGCAUAUUGAGGUAAGUCGUAACAAGGUAAUU